GCCUACGGGAGGCAGCAGUCGAGAAUUUUUCUCAAUGGGGGAAACCCUGAAGGAGCGACGCCGCGUGGAGGAUGAAGGUUUUCGGAUUGUAAACUCCUGUCAUGAGGGAGCAAACUUGCGGGGAGUAACUGCCCUGCAAUUGAUAGUACCUCAAGAGGAAGGGACGGCUAACUCUGUGCCAGCAGCCGCGGUAAUACAGAGGUCCCAAGCGUUGUUCGGAUUCAUUGGGCGUAAAGGGUGCGUAGGCUGCGCCGUAAGUCGGAUGUGAAAUCCCGGGGCUCAACCCUGGAACUGCAUUCGAUACUGCGGUGCUAGAGGACUCUAGAGGAAACUGGAAUUCACGGUGUAGCAGUGAAAUGCGUAGAUAUCGUGAGGAAGACCAGUGGCGAAGGCGGGUUUCUGGAGAGUUCCUGACGCUGAGGCACGAAGGCCAGGGGAGCAAACGGGAUUAGAUACCCCGGUAGU
rnacentral:rRNA from 1 species